CCGGUCGAUAAACCGGAGGAAGUGGGGAUGACGUCAAGUCAGCAUGGCCUUUAUAUCCUGGGCUACACACACGCUACAAUGGGAAGGGACAAUAGGUUGCGAAGCCGCGAGGCGGAGCCAAUCCAGCAAAACUUCCCUCAGUUCAGAUUGCAGGCUGCAACCCGCCUGCAUGAAGUUGGAGUUGCUAGUAAACGCAGGUCAGCCAUACUGCGUUGAAUACGUUCCCGGGGCUU
rnacentral:rRNA from 1 species